rnacentral:rRNA from 1 species
UACAGAGGUCCCGAGCGUUGUUCGGAUUCAUUGGGCGUAAAGGGUGCGUAGGCGGCGGGGCAAGUCUGAUGUGAAAUCCCGGGGCUCAACCCCGGAACUGCAUUGGGUACUGCCUUACUAGAGUACUGGAGAGGGAACUGGAAUUUACGGUGUAGCAGUGAAAUGCGUAGAGAUCGUAAGGAAGGCCAGUGGCGAAGGCGAGUUCCUGGACAGUGACUGACGCUGAGGCACGAAGGCCAGGGGAGCAAACAGG